GGCUCGACUUCACUAGAUGCCUAUUCCCUACUCUACUUACCACGUUCCUCUUGCGAAUCUGAAGAGGCAAUAACAGUAAAAACACGAAAUCAAACAAGAGCAAAGAUUUCUUUUGGCAGAUAAAAGAACGAAAUAUAAUUUGUUAUUUUUGUGGAAAAGUAAGAGAGAAGGGAAAAGAUGAAGAUCACGUCGUUAUUGGUAUUGAAGUGCAUCCCAGAAGGACCCGAUGCGAUAAUAUUAGCGAACGCAUCCGAUGUGAGCCAUUUCAGUUACUUCAAAAGGCCAAGCGUCAGGGAGUUUAUCGUCUUUUUCGCUCGAACCGUCGCUAAACGUACGCCAUCCAUCCAGCGCAAAGGUGGUAGAUGAAUACCAGAAAGAAAUUGGGGAAUCAUGGAGGAACGUGGAAGCUGAUGCUUUGAUAGUACUCAAUCUUGGCCUUAUCUGGAUGAGUCUCUGGUCAAAUUCCAGGACCCCGCCGAGGCUGAUAAAUUGUUGAAAGUUCAAAGGGAAUUGGAUGAACCUUAGAUCAUCCUCGUAAGUAUUUUGUUGUCUUCGUUUCAUGGAUUUUAUGGCUUCAUGUGGUUUCUUUUAGCUUUCAGCUUCCGUUCCAUGCAAUCUUCAGCUUCUAAUUAUCAUUUUGUUGGCUAAUACCCAUAGUGAAUGUUUAUUCUGAAAUUAACAUGCAGAUUACAGAACACAUGUUUUAGGUUGAAAUUUUUUCCUUUUUCACUUUAACGUUUUGAUUUCUUGAUAAUGUGACGUUAAAAUAUUUGAUUAUAAGUAGCUGACUAGCCAUCAUUGAUGAUGUUUAACUAGGAGUGAUAUUAAGAACCUGUUUUGCCUUUUCAGUUGGAUGGUGAGAAUGCAAUUUGUAAAUGUAUUGGAUUCAGACUGUUCCCUCCAUUUUCUGAUCAGGGAAAUGACUGGACAAGUGCCUAAAUGAGUUUUCUAAAAUUACACUUCUACCAUAUUAUUCGGGGAAAGAGAGGUAUUCUAAGUUAGGUCAUAUAAACUGCCUGAUGGCUCUUUAGAAUACAAGAAAUCCAACUGAAAUGAACCUAGGUUCCAUUCUUAGAAUAUGGUUUGUUAAAAUUAUUUCUUACUUGAAACCAUUGCUAGUGGCUGGCUGGUUAUAAUUCCUUGUAAAAUUGAUAAUAGAUCCAUCAACAGAUUGCGUAACAGUUCGGUUUGUUCGGCAUGGAUUACAGUGAGUCUUUGAGUGCUGUCUGUUCGGUUUCUCAACGUGAAGAUUUGGAGGAAUUCUUGCUAGCUAGAAAGAAUUGUAAUGUUAUGUGAACCUAUGAUUGAUUAUUUAUUCUUCUCUCGCUGAUUGAAAUGAGUAUUUCUUUGACGUAAGCAUAAAACUAUUGAUAGUGUGCUUGCACGAGGUGAGAAGCUAGACAAUUUAGUUGAGAAGAGUUCAGACCUGAGUGCGGCAUUUCAGGUACAUCGUGGAAGACUCCACAUGUCAUCCCAUUAUGCAUAUGCAUCUAGCUGAUUCUUUUGGCCUUUGUUUCUUUCUAGUUUAUCACUUCUUUCCUUGGUACUUGGGGUUGUAUAUCAUUGAAACCAAGAGUCCACCUCUCUAUCAAAAGAUCAAAAGGUUAACAUAUCUAUUAGUAUUUCCCAUUAGUAUGUCUUCAAAUGCUCCUGAACAUAGCAGGCAUGUGACUAUUAUAUGCUUCUGAAAUCCUUUCAUCGUAGCAUGAUUUUAUCAACUGAAUUCCGAUAGAACGGCCAUUACACCUAAUUUUGUUUAUACUUGGAAACAGAUGUUCUACAAGCAGGCUAAGAGAACCAAUCAAUGCUGUACCUCACUGUAAACUUCAGUAAAAGCGGUGGUACGGCACCAUUUACCAGUUCUGGUGCCUGAAGCUCCGAUGGUAACUGUAAUUUUGCUUACAUGGUUUUAUCAAUACUUAGUUUUAGAGAACUUGGUAGCUUUCAUUAUAAAACGGGAAAUGAAAUCAUAAUGUUUACAAAGUAGAUGACCUUUGAAAUGGGUAAACCGCACACACACACGAACACAUAUAUAACCAAGUAAUUGCUCUUUAGUUUCAACCAGAAUUGCAUAUAACUUGAUCAGAGUUUCAUAUUUAAAACAUUCAACUGAAAGCCAACCUAUUUCUUAGCAGAACAAACACAAGGUGGGAAUAUUGAGUACUGGAUUUCGAUAUUUCCACAAAACCAUGAUUUCUACUUCCCAAAAAGGGAUUUGAUCCACCAAAUGCCUUUGGUGUCGUUAGAAGUGUUCUCUCCUUCUGGUGGAGGAUCGCUUUGUUCGGUCUUGUGCAGUUUACUAACAUCAUAUCCCACAGCUUCAGCUUUCUGCACCAGAUGAUUGUAGAUUCCAUCAUCCAUAUGUGUCUGCCUGCACAGUAUC